rnacentral:rRNA from 1 species
AACGAACGCUGGCGGCAUGCCUAACACAUGCAAGUCGAACGAAGCCUUCGGGCUUAGUGGCGCACGGGUGCGUAACGCGUGGGAAUCUGCCCCUUGCUUCGGAAUAACAGUUAGAAAUGACUGCUAAUACCGGAUGAUGUCUUCGGACCAAAGAUUUAUCGGCAAGGGAUGAGCCCGCGUAGGAUUAGGUAGUUGGUGGGGUAAAGGCCUACCAAGCCGACGAUCCUUAGCUGGUCUGAGAGGAUGAUCAGCCACACUGGGACUGAGACGCGGCCCAGACUCCUACGGGAGGCAGCAGUGGGGAAUAUUGGACGAUGGGGGGAACCCUGAUCCAGCAAUGCCGCGUGAGUGAUGGAGGCCUUAGGGUUGUAAAGCUCUUUUACCAGGGAUGAUAAUGACGGUACCUGGAGAAUAAGCUCCGGCUAACUCCGUGCCAGCCGCCGCCGUAAAAC